UUAAUUGAAACCAAAAAGAGGUAUAUCACUGUUAAUGAUAAAAAUGAAAAAACUUUCCAAUUAAA
rnacentral:tRNA from 1 species